ensembl:snRNA U2 U2 spliceosomal RNA
GUCGCUUCUCGGCCUUUUGGCUAAGAUCAAGUGUAGUAUCUGUUCUUAUCAGUUUAAUUCUAGUGGAGCAAAGCUCCCACAGCCACCGGAAGUUACUGAUUGUAUUCUCCUCUUACAAAGCUGUUUAGCCAAU